ACCUGGCUGGCUCAGUGUUAGAGCAUGUGACUCUUGAUCUCAAGGUUGUGAGUUCAAGCCCCAUGCUGGGUA
rnacentral:tRNA from 1 species